CAAUAGCGUAUAUUAAAGUUGUUGCGGUUAAAAAGCUCGUAGUUGGAUUUCUGUUGGGAACGACCGGUCCGCCCAUUGGGUGUGUAUCUGGCUUGUUCUCGGCAUCUUCUUGGUGAACGUUGCUGCACUUGACUGUGUGGAGCGCUACCCAGGACUUUUACUUUGAGGAAAUUAGAGUGUUUCAAGCAGGCAUAUGCCUUGAAUACAUUAGCAUGGAAUAAUAAGAUAGGACCUCGGUUCUAUUUUGUUGGUUUCUAGAGCUGAGGUAAUGAUUAAUAGGGAUAGUUGGGGGCAUUCGUAUUUAACUGUCAGAGGUGAAAUUCUUGGGUUUGUUAAAGACGGACUACUGCGAAAGCAUUUGCCAAGGAUGUUUUCAUUGA
rnacentral:rRNA from 1 species